ACGAAGGGUGCAAGCGUUACUCGGAAUUACUGGGCGUAAAGCGUGCGUAGGUGGUUCGUUAAGUCUGAUGUGAAAGCCCUGGGCUCAACCUGGGAACUGCAUUGGAUACUGGCGAUCUGGAGUGCGGUAGAGGGGUGCGGAAUUCCCGGUGUAGCAGUGAAAUGCGUAGAUAUCGGGAGGAACAUCCGUGGCGAAGGCGGCACCCUGGACCAGCACUGACGCUGAGGCACGAAAGCGUGGGGAGCAAACAG
rnacentral:rRNA from 1 species